rnacentral:rRNA from 1 species
UACGGAAGGGGGCUAGCGUUGCUCGGAAUCACUGGGCGUAAAGCGCACGUAGGCGGCUUGGUAUGUCGGGUGUGAAAUCCCCGGGCUCAACCCGGGAACUGCGUCCGAAACUGGCAGGCUCGAAUCCGGGAGAGGGAUGCGGAAUUCCAGGUGUAGCGGUGAAAUGCGUAGAUAUCUGGAGGAACAUCGGUGGCGAAGGCGGCAUCCUGGACCGGUAUUGACGCUGAGGCGCGAAAGCCAGGGGAGCAAAGCGGGG